GUGAUGAGANAGCUCAGUUGGUAGAGCGCAACCUUGCCAAGGUUGAGGUCACGAGUUCGAACCUCGUGUGUCGCUCCA
rnacentral:tRNA from 1 species